rnacentral:rRNA from 1 species
CGAACGCGAUUUAUCCUUUCGGGGAUAAGUUGAGUGGCGCACGGGUGAGUAACACGUAGGUAAUCUACCUUUGGGUGGGGAAUAACAGCCGGAAACGGCUGCUAAUACCGCAUAAUGCAGCGGCAUCACAUGAUGACAGUUGUUAAAGCGGGGGAUCGAAAGACCUCGCGCCAGAAGAGGAGCCUGCGGCAGAUUAGCUAGUUGGUGAGGUAACGGCUCACCAAGGCAACGAUCGGUAGCCGGCCUGAGAGGGCGGACGGCCACACUGGGACUGAGACACGGCCCAGACUCCUACGGGAGGCAGCAGUGGGGAAUUGUUCGCAAUGGGCGCAAGCCUGACGACGCAACGCCGCGUGGAGGAUGAAGGUCUUCGGAUUGUAAACUCCUGUUGCCCGGGACGAAAUGUUCAGGCCUAAUACGUCUGAGUUUGACGGUACCGGGUGAGGAAGCCCCGGCUAACUCUGUGCCAGCAGCCGCGGUAAUACAGAGGGGGCAAGCGUUGUUCGGAAUUACUGGGCGUAAAGGGCGCGUAGGCGGCCCUCUAAGUCGAACGUGAAAUCCCUGGGCUCAACCCAGGAACUGCGUCCGAGACUGGGGGGCUCGAAUCCGGGAGAAGGAUGUGGAAUUCCAGGUGUAGCGGUGAAAUGCGUAGAUAUCUGGAGGAAC